GAAGGAACCCGGAUGUGCCUGUGGAGCUGUGUUGGCAGUCUGCGCGCGGAGAUUUGGGCACUCUUUGGGUGCCCAGGGCUAGGCGGAUGGCUCAGGAUUGGGCGGGCUUCUCUGAGGAAGAGCUGAGGAGACUAAAGCAGAAUAAAGAUCCAUUUGAACCUCAGCGUCGAAUUCCUGUGAAGAAAACUCGACAACAGCUUCAGCGUGAAAAAGCCCUUCUAGAGCAGAGCCAAAAGCUUGGCCUCCAAGAUGGGUCAGCCUCAUUGCUUCCAGAGCAGCUGCUCUCUGCACCCAAACAGAGAGCUAACAGUCAAAAGCCACGCUCUCCUUCCCCUGUGGCCCCCAGUCCCCUCACACCCACCUCUUCCUCUGGCGAUGGAAAGCUACCUGGUGUUGGAAGUCAGCCCCAAGAACCAGGACUUGAGAAUUCCCACCAUGGUCACAAAAGUGCCGAGGUUCGAGCUCCAAAGCCAGAUUGCAAAGUGGAGAAAAAGAAAAUGGAAUUGUUAGCAAGAGAAAUCUCGUUGGGAAGUCCUCCAACAAGAACAGCGACUAAUGGAAGAGAAAAAUAAACGUAAGAAAGCCCUUUUGGCUCAAGCCAUUGCGGAAAGAACAACUUCUCAUGAAGCAUAAUAAAGAUACAACUCACAGGCUGGCUUAUAUUUCAAGCAUAAUAAAGAUACAACUCACAGGCUGGCUUAUAUUUCAAGAAAAGAACGAAAUUAAUAAUACCAUCUUUUUCCCUACAAAUCUAAGAAGACCCAAGCAGAGACCAUAAAACUAAAGAGGAUCCAGAAGGAGUUGCAGGCCUUAGACGACAUGGUGUCAGCUGACAUUGGCAUCCUCAGGAACAGAAUCGACCAGGCCAGCCUGGAGUAUUCCUACGCACGGAAGCGCUUUGAUAGAGCUGAAGCUGAGUACAUUACAGCAAAGCUGGAUUUACAGCGCAAAACCGAGACGAAAGAGCAGCUCACCGAACACCUCUGCACCAUCAUCCAGCAGAACGAGCUCCGAAAGGCCAAGAAGCUGGAGGAGCUGAUGCAGCAGCUGGACGUGCAGGCUGAUGAGGAGGCUUUGCAACUCGAGGUGGAGGUUGAACAGUUGCUUCGGGAACAGGAAGCAGAGGCAGCCAAACAAAUGGCUUCUGUAGAGAGGCUGUGUCCGCCUGAUGGCGAGAGUGUGUCUUCAGAACUGGCUGAAGAGAACAAUGAGCCUCAAAAGCAAGCUCCUUCCCCAGAGACAGACAAGCCAGGCAAAUGUUGCAGUAGCUCUCCCCAUAGACUAGACUGCCCAGAUCCAGGAGCCAAGAACUUUUCAGCUGCUGUGGCCACAUGAGCGGCCAGUGUUUUUUCAGUUAAUAUCUCUGCGGUAAAUUAUAGCUUGUCUCUGAUCAAACUUCUUUCAACUCAUUUGUGUUUGAAUCAAUGCUUAGUGAUAGUAUGUUAGCAUGUCAGAUCAUUCCAAAGUCAGAAGUAGUGACUGUUUCCUAUCCAGGGAGUGUUGACCCCUCGAAGUUGGGGUUCCUUCAAGCCUUGUCACUGAGUUAGAAUAGGUGACUCACAGGGUGGGAGUGCUCGGGGCCCUGGGUUUGACCUUCAACACUACAAGCACAGUGGUAGAAGAAAAACUACAUGGCUUCUUAGCCCUUGGCCAAACUUAACUUGUGAGAGAACUGGGUUUGACCUUAAACACUACAAACCAAGCACAGUGGUAGAAGAAAAACUACAUGACUUCUUAGUCCUUGGCCAAACUUAACUUGUGAGAGAACACUGAGACUUUGUGGCCUUCUAUGUAGUCAUUAAAAAGACAACAAUUCUUAUAUACAGAGAGAAGGAGAGAAAAAACGGGUUAACUUACCUACCCGGAUGCUACUAGAGUGAGUAGACACAAGUUGGAAGACAACCUAAGCCAACAUUAUUUUCCCUUUACUUUGUCAGUAAAUGGUUUCUCGUUCCCACCUGAAUUGUGGCUAGUUGAUCCACAUCCAUAGAUAAGCUGUGAAUGUGUGGCUUUACCUUUACUUUCUUCUGUUUUCCUUAAUGAGUGGACAGGGAAACUUUAGACAAUGAAAAUGUUUCUAAAGUGACUCUGAGAGUGGCAAGUCUCAUUGAUUAUCCAACAAUGAUGUAUUCUCUCGCUGAAGCUCUGUAAUGUGGAUAUUUAUAUGUCAGGUAUUGCUUCUUCUGUCAUGAAGCAUUGAAAUCGUUAAAGCACUCAUUUUCUAAUUGCUUUCAUAGUUUGUCAAUCACCUGUUCCCAAAAACUUGACUGGUGCAUUGUGCUAGAUUUGAAUGUGUAUAAAUGUCUUAGUUUUGCCACAAAUAUUACCUUAAAUUAUCGAUUUCUCAGAAAUCACAAAAAAUGAAAAAUGUGUUUCAUUCAUAAAAAAGGAGCUGUAUUUUAAAGGAGAUAAAGACAGCUGUUUCCAUAAUACAUUGUAGAAACGUUAGGGAUGUCCUAUUUUUAGACUAUUGUCUAAGACAUCUUCUGAUAGUAAGGAUGCUUUGUAUUUUUUUCUAUGAUCUGAGCCACAAGUAUAAUUGUCCAUUACUGAUUUCUAAACACAAGCAUUUAUUUCCAUAGUGUUGUUUUUAUUUAUGAAUGAGACGCAUACAAAUUUAAAACUUCAUUGCCCAAUACAGUCUUAUUUUUCUAAGGAAUAAACAAGUCUGAUAAGUUUACAGUA